rnacentral:rRNA from 1 species
GGUGAACGCUGGCGGCGUGCUUAACACAUGCAAGUCGAACGAGAACGGAUUAUAGCUUGCUAUAGUUGUCAGCUAAGUGGCGCACGGGGGAGUAAUGUAUAGGUAAUAUGCCUCUUACUAAGGGAUAACAAAUGGAAACGUUUGCUAAUACCUUAUACUCCUUAUUAACAGAAGUUAAUAAGGGAAAGAUUUAUUGGUAAGAGAUUAGCCUGUAUUGUAUCAGUUAGUUGGUGGGGUAAUGGCUUACCAAGACUAUGACACAUAACUGGUUUGAGAGGAUGAUCAGUCACACUGGAACUGAGACACGGUCCUGACUCCUACGGGAGGCAGCAGUAGGGAAUAUUGCACAAUGGACGAAAGUCUGAUGCAGCAACGCCGCGUGGAGGAUGACACAUUUCGGUGCGUAAACUCCUUUUAUAUGAGAAGAUAAUGACGGUAUUAUAUGAAUAAGCACCGGCUAACUCCGUGCCAGCCGCCGCAGUAA